rnacentral:rRNA from 1 species
GGUUAAGCGACUAAGCGUACACGGUGGAUGCCUAGGCAAUCAGAGGCGAUGAAGGACGUGCUAAUCUGCGAUAAGCGUCGGUAAGGUGAUAUGAACCGUUACAACCGACGAUUUCCGAAUGGGGAAACCCAGUGCAAUUCGUUGCACUAUCGUUUGAUGAAUACAUAGUCAAACGAAGCGAACCGGGGGAACUGAAACAUCUCAGUACCCCGAGGAAAAGAAAUCAACCGAGAUUCCCCUAGUAGCGGCGAGCGAACGGGGAGCAGCCCAGAGUCUUAAUCAGCAUUAGCAUCAGGAGAACGGUCUGGAAAGUCCGGCAGUAAAGGGUGAUAGCCCCGUAUCCGAAGGUGUUAGUGUUGUGAACUCGACGAGUAGGGCGGGACACGUGUUAUCCUGUCUGAAUAUGGGGGGACCAUCCUCCAAGGCUAAAUACUCCUGAUUGACCGAUAGUGAACCAGUACCGUGAGGGAAAGGCGAAAAGAACCCCGGCGAGKGGAGUGAAAUAGAACCUGAAACCGUGUACGUACAAGCAGUGGGAGCCUUGAUUUAUCAGGGUGACUGCGUACCUUUUGUAUAAUGGGUCAGCGACUUAUAUUCUGUAGCAAGGUUAACCGUAUAGGGGAGCCGUAGGGAAACCGAGUCUUAACUGGGCGAAUAAGUUGCAGGGUAUAGACCCGAAACCCGGUGAUCUAGCCAUGGGCAGGUUGAAGGUUGGGUAACACUAACUGGAGGACCGAACCGACUAAUGUUGAAAAAUUAGCGGAUGACUUGUGGCUGGGGGUGAAAGGCCAAUCAAACCGGGAGAUAGCUGGUUCUCCCCGAAAGCUAUUUAGGUAGCGCCUCGUGAACUCAUCUUCGGGGGUAGAGCACUGUUUCGACUAGGGGGUCAUCCCGACUUACCAACUCGAUGCAAACUACGAAUACCGAAGAAUGUUAUCACGGGAGACACACGGCGGGUGCUAACGUUCGUCGUGAAGAGGGAAA